AAGCCGCGGCCCCCUUUUCCCCUGAAACCCUAUCUCUUCUUCCCUUCCACCAUCCGCCACCGCCGACCUUCGAUUCACCGCCUACGGUGGGCCCCUCCUCGAUUCCUUGCGCGGGGAGCAUCUCCUCCCUCCCCUCGACUGAUUCCGGCUUUAAUCCCGUCGUUUCCCUUGCCGUGCAGGGCUUCCCGGCGGAGCUCUCCCGUCGGCGCCGCUUGUCCUCGUUGCGCCGCGCCCUCUGCCGCCGUUCCCUACAGCCUGUGUCGCCGUGACCGAAACGCCGGAGAGCAAGCCCGUUGAGCCCGCCAAAGUUGCCGAACUCGGACCCGGAAUCGAGUACGUGGUUGAACUCGAGGAAAGCCAAGACAAACAGCUAUGCAUUUAUUCCUUGCACCUAUUUAACUUGAUUUAAUUUAGUUAUCUCAAUUGGAUAUUUAUGGGUUAUGUAUAUUAUGUUAUUUAUUGCAUUUUUGUAUCUAUUUCUAUGCAUUGCCCUUCCUUGAAUAUUGUUUAGCCUUAUCCUUGAUACUUGUAGUUGUUUAGAGUACUUAACUUGUCUAGAUGCUUAACUGCACAGAGUUUUAUGUCCCUUGAUAGGAGAAAAUGGUUUUAGAGUCAUCACACUUACCCGACGAUGCUUGUUUCGCACUUGUUCGGUAAUUGUUUGAUGGAAGAAUAGUCUCGUGAUCCGGGCAGAAGGAUAGGGCCUAGAGAAGAAAGUCACGGACCGCUCGGGUCGUUUAUGGACCGUCCAUGGAUGACGGCGGUUUUGAGCAACUUAUCGUGCUCUCACAUAUCCGAAAUAAUGGAAAGGAUGAGCCAAAUACCUUCCAGAAUUGGUCUUUGAUGCAUGGUCCUAGAUACGUGGCCAAGGGUGCUAUUUAGAGAGGCUUAGUGAUGACCCCGGUGGACCUAUGUGACUCUCUGCGUAAAUUAGGCGUGGUGUUCAAGGGUUGAGCCUUGUUGGGAACGGUUGACGCGAGUACCCCUCUUAUCCAACGUGAUCGGUUGGGUGAGCCGCAUGGUCCUUGCGUCGUGUGGGUAAAGUAGUCCACCCUUGCAAGGUUUAAAUCAAUUCGAAUUGCCGCGCUCUCGGUUUUAAGCAAGCUCUCUAUCCCAUGAAAUCUUCAUAGAAAGUUUUUAUGAUUCAUGGCACUUAUAUGGUUAUUUACUUGUCUUCUUAUAAUAAACUAAAAUUGGUGUUGUGGGUUGGGCAAGAAUAAUUAAUUUCUAUCCCAUGAAUUCUUCGUAGAAAGUUUCGGUUAUGGUGAUUUAUGAUUCAUGGCACUUGUAUGGUUAUUUACUUGUCUUCUUAUAAUGAACUAAAAUUGGUGUUGUGGGUUGGACAAGAAUAAUUAAUUUGCUAGGAAACUAGAUGAUAGUGUAGAGAGCUCAUGCUUGCGCAAUAAUAACUUAACCUUAAAGCCUCAUCUUAAGUCUCUUGCAUGAUCCUUGUUUAUAUAUUUGCGUAAGAUUUGCGAGUACCUUUUGUACUCAUGUUGUUUUUUAAACUAAGUUGCAAGUGAGCCGGAAGUCAUUUUUGGCCAUUUCUAUCCCGCCGACCCCAGAGAGGAGUUGGCCUUUGUGGUUGCGAUGGCGCCCAUGAGCAAGAUGCUAUUGCUUUAUUGCGACUUUAUCAUUUUAUCUGCUGUGCAGUGGUUUUUUUGGGGAGAACAUGACAAGACACUAAACUUUAUUUUCAUGUCUCUUAUUUACCACUCUUGAAUCAAGGUUUGUAUGAAAUUGUUGAACCAUUUUAUUUCAGAUUUGGACCUCCCAUGAUGAACUUGUAAUAAUUAAUUUGUUGUACUCUUUUAUGCUUAAAAUUUCUUUUUGUGGUUCAUUGGUGAUA